rnacentral:misc_RNA from 1 species
GAAGAAGAAGAAGAAGAAGAAUUCUCACAACUUCCUCUCCUUCUCUCCCUUAAUUAUAUAUUAUAUAUAAUUAAUAUUCUUUAUAGGCUUUUUGUUCUGCAUCAAUGGCUCAACUUACAUUAUCGAUUGCUAUGUUCUCUCUGUUUGUUGCGCAUUCUUUCAUAUCAGGUAAUAAUGGCAAUCUGCUUUUAAAGGGGUCUUUCAAAAUCUUAAGCUUCAAUAAAUUAACGGGUACUCUUGAUUUCUUCUUCUCUUUGCAGGAGUUGUUUCAACUACCUUUACAAUAGCAAAUAAGUGUGACUAUACGGUAUGGCCAGGCAUUCUCUCAAAC